GAUGAACGCUGGCGGCGUGCCUAAUACAUGCAAGUCGAGCGAACAGACGAGGAGCUUGUUCCUCUGACGUUAGCGGCGGACGGGUGAGUAACACGUGGAUAACCUACCUAUAAGACUGGGAUAACUUCGGGAAACCGGAGCUAAUACCGGAUAAUACAUUGAACCGCAUGGUUCAAUAGUGAAAGACGGUUUUGCUGUCACUUAUAGACGGAUCCGCGCCGCAUUAGCUAGUUGGUAAGGUAACGGCUUACCAAGGCAACGAUGCGUAGCCGACCUGAGAGGGUGAUCGGCCACACUGGAACUGAGACACGGUCCAGACUCCUACGGGAGGCAGCAGUAGGGAAUCUUCCGCAAUGGGCGAAAGCUUGACGGAGCAACGCCGCGUGAGUGAUGAAGGUCUUCGGAUCGUAAAACUCUGUUAUUAGGGAAGAACAAAUGUGUAAGUAACUAUGCACGUCUUGACGGUACCUAAUCAGAAAGCCACGGCUAACUACGUG
rnacentral:rRNA from 1 species